UACGUAGGGGGCGAGCGUUGUCCGGAUUUAUUGGGCGUAAAGAGCGUGUAGGCGGCCAGGUAGGUCUGCUGUGAAAACUCGAGGCUCAACCUCGAGACGUCGGCGGAAACCAUCUGGCUAGAGUCCGGAAGAGGAGAGUGGAAUUCCUGGUGUAGCGGUGAAAUGCGCAGAUAUCUGGAGGAACACCGGUGGCGAAGGCGGCAUCCUGGAUCAACACUGACGCUGAGGAGCGAAAGCCAGGGGAGCAAACGGG
rnacentral:rRNA from 1 species